rfam:Gossypium raimondii Chr07_contig_66, whole genome shotgun sequence.
UGUUAAAAACUUUAUUCAUUUCUACUGUUAAAACUAGCAUAACUAACAGAAUAAUCAAAUAGUGAAAUAUGGCAUGCCACAAGUACUUCAUGUUGACAUACAGAGACCAAUUAUUAACAGUAGAAAUUGAUGAAAUUUUUAAUA